rnacentral:tRNA from 1 species
UGGGGUGUCGACAAGUUGGUAAGUUAGCAGAUUUUGAUUCUGCCAUUCGUUGGUUCGAGUCCAACCACCCCAUCCA